rnacentral:rRNA from 1 species
GUAGGUGGCAAGCGUUGUCCGGAAUUAUUGGGCGUAAAGCGCGCGCAGGCGGUUCUUUAAGUCUGAUGUGAAAGCCCACGGCUCAACCGUGGAGGGUCAUUGGAAACUGGAGAACUUGAGUACAGGAGAGGAAAGCGGAAUUCCACGUGUAGCGGUGAAAUGCGUAGAGAUGUGGAGGAACACCAGUGGCGAAGGCGGCUUUCUGGUCUGUAACUGACGCUGAGGCGCGAAAGCGUGGGGAGCAAACAGGGAUUAGAUACCCUGGUAGUCCACGCCGUAAACGAUGAGUGCUAAGUGUUAGGGGGUUUCCGCCCCCUUAGUGCUGCAGCUAACGCAUUAAGCACUCCGCCUGGGGAGUACGACCGCAAGGUUG